rnacentral:rRNA from 1 species
UACGUAGGGGGCAAGCGUUGUCCGGAUUUAUUGGGCGUAAAGAGCGUGUAGGCGGCCAUGUAGGUCCGUUGUGAAAACUCGAGGCUCAACCUCGAGACGCCGAUGGAAACCAUUUGGCUAGAGUCCGGAAGAGGAGAGUGGAAUUCCCGGUGUAGCGGUGAAAUUCGUAGAUAUUGGGAAGAACACCGGUGGCGAAGGCGGCGACCUGGUCCGAUACUGACGCUGAGGCGCGAAAGCGUGGGGAGCAAACAGG